UAGGGAAUCUUCGGCAAUGGACGGAAGUCUGACCGAGCAACGCCGCGUGAGUGAAGAAGGUUUUCGGAUCGUAAAGCUCUGUUGUAAGAGAAGAACGAGUGUGAGAGUGGAAAGUUCACACUGUGACGGUAUCUUACCAGAAAGGGACGGCUAACUACGUGCCAGCAGCCGCGGUAAUACGUAGGUCCCGAGCGUUGUCCGGAUUUAUUGGGCGUAAAGCGAGCGCAGGCGGUUAGAUAAGUCUGAAGUUAAAGGCUGUGGCUUAACCAUAGUACGCUUUGGAAACUGUUUAACUUGAGUGCAAGAGGGGAGAGUGGAAUUCCAUGUGUAGCGGUGGGAAAGUGAUAUAUGGAGGAACACCGGGGGGGAAAGGGGCUCUCUGGCUUGUAACUGACGCUGANCUGAGAAAGCGUGGGGAGCAAACAGGAUUAGAUACCCUGGUAGUCCACGCCGUAAACGAUGAGUGCUAGGUGUUAGACCCUUUCCGGGGUUUAGUGCCGCAGCUAACGCAUUAAGCACUCCGCCUGGGGAGUACGACCGCAAGGUUG
rnacentral:rRNA from 1 species